CGUUGCCCAGGCCGUCGAUGAGCAGGCGGACGGAAGUGUUCUUCACCUCCAGGAACACCGAGUGCCACUCGCCAUCACUCACAAACCGUGAGGAGGAGAGGUUCCCAGAGGAGCUUCCCUGGCAGCUGUAGGCAAGAAGUCAAGAGCCUACGGAAAAGGAGAAAAGAGAUGGAAAGAAGUGUUGGUGGGAAACCUGCAAAAACCUGCUAUGUAACAUCAAGCAAUUCAUCCCAGACAGGAGAGAUGUCCCUGGGGGACAUUAGAGACAGCGAGGAGGGUUUCACUCUUGGAAGGGGUUAGAAGAACAGGAAUGAUUAUGGGCUACACUGACUCUAGAGAAACCCACACACAAUAUGAAGGGGCUACUCUGGAGCAGAGCAGGACCACAGCUAACUCUCAGAGAAGCCCACGGUAUAAAUAAAUACCAGUGGGAGGAGAGAGCAACUGCUGAAGGAAGAAAUAACAAGAAGCAGCUGGCACAUGGCAUGGAAGGGCCUCAGGGCAACACGUGUGUAAAUCCCUUUGCACAACUGGCAAGCACACCAGAGAACUUUGUCACUUCACUUCAUCUGCAGGAACAUGAUUUCUCUUCAGAUGGGUCUGUAGAUUUGGCUUAUCAAUUUCUGGGGCUGGGAGACAGCUGAGAACUCGAUUCCCUGGAGCAAGAACUGACACACUGCCAAGCCUUUCCCAGCUUGCCUGGUCUGCCAUCCUCUUCCUGUAACCUAUUUCUGAACAUCAGGAGAGCUCAGGGACUGGAAAAGUGAUGAUAUGCAUGCUCUUGGAAGAGCUCAUCCUCUUCAUGAAAUCUACAAGCCAUCAGUUAUUGUCCUUUCAAGGCUUAGGCUCAUAUCUGGAGUACUUCAGUAUAUAAAAUUUAAAAUCUUGAGAGAUUCCUUCAUUUUUAUCAGGCCAUGUGAUUUAGAAACCUUUUUAUCCCUAAAAUAUUGCUAAUAAAGUGAGCCAGGAAAGAAAUUAUUCACAGACACUUUUAUGGAGGAGGCUUUAUCAAUGUUUCCUAUUGAAAAGACUGUGGAGACAAGCUUGGGCACAGGAGAUCAUGGGCUCACUGAACUCCACCAAUAAUGAGCCUUUUCUCCCUUGACUCCCUGUGCUGGCCUGGAUCAGUGGAGUUUCUUGCCAUCUUGUACUUCCUGAGCACCACCGAAAGUGCAGGAUUCCUUCUGAUGAGCUCUUUGGUGAGGCAGAAAGGAUAAGACCCUUCAUGAGAAGUUUUUCACACUGGCCCUUUCAGCCUAAAGUCACUCUCAGAGAUGGGUACAGGACACAUGGCUGAUAUUUCUUUGCUCCUGCUCUUCAGGAGUAAUGGCUGUGGCAGCAGGAGUUUGAAAUAUGUGCAAAAGGCAUGUGUGGGGGGGUUGGCUGCUGUGCAGCUCCCUGUCUGAGUGGGUCUUUUGUAACUGUGGAAA